AGUUUACUCCUCCGUAUCAAAAUUCUUGUCUUAGGUUUGUCUAAAAAUAGAUGUAUCUAAAUACUAAAAUUAGAUUUUAUACAUUCAUACCUACAUAAAUCUAAGACAAGAAUUUUGGGACGGAGAGAGUAUAUU
rfam:Hordeum vulgare subsp. vulgare, WGS project CAJW01000000 data, contig: morex_contig_57574